AUUGAACGCUGGUGGCAGGCCUAACACAUGCAAGUCGAACGAGUGGCGGACGGGUGAGUAGUGUCUGGGAAACUGCCUGAUGGAGGGGGAUCACUACGGGAAACGGUAGCUAAUACCGCAUACCAUCGGAUGUGCCCAGAGGGGAUUAGCUAGUAGGGGGGGUAAAGGCUCACCUAGGCGACGAUCCCUAGCUGGUCUGAGAGGAUGACCAGCCACACUGGAACUGAGACACGGUCCAGACUCCUACGGGAGGCAGCAGUGGGGAAUAUUGCACAAUGGGCGCAAGCCUGAUGCAGCCAUGCCGCAUGUAUGAAGAAGGCCUUCGGGUUGUAAAGUACUUUCAGCGGGGAGGCGUUACCCACAGAAGAAGCACCGGCUAACUCCGUGCCAGCCGCCGCGGUAAUUC
rnacentral:rRNA from 1 species